rnacentral:tRNA from 1 species
GGUUUGCGGUAGUGUAGAGACGCGGUUACUUCGGUCUGCGAAACCGACGAUGAGGGUUCGACUCCCUCUGCAAAGCA